rnacentral:rRNA from 1 species
CCUACGGGUGGCAGCAGUGAGGAAUAUUGGUCAAUGGUCGGAAGCCUGAACCAGCCAAGUAGCGUGCAGGAUGACUGCCCUGAGGGUUGUAAACUUCUUUUGUCGGGGGAUAAAGGGCCGUACGUGUCCUGCUUUGCGUGUACCUUAUGAAAAAGGAUCGGCUAACUCCGUGCCAGCAGCCGCGGUAAUACGGAGGAUCCGAGCGUUAUCCGGAUUUAUUGGGUUUAAAGGGUGCGUAGGCGGGUUGUUAAGCCAGGUGUGAAAUUUCGGGGCUCAACCCUGACCUUGCAGGUGAGACUGGGGUCGUGGAGUGCGGUAGAGGUAGGCGGAAUUCGCGGGGUAGCGGUGAAAUGCUUAGAUAUCACGAAGAACCCCGAUUGCGAAGGCAGCCUGCUGGACCGUAACUGACGCUGAUGCUCGAAAGCGCGGGGAUCGAACAGGAUUAGAUACCCGUGUAGUC